ACAACGCGACAUUCGGAUAAGGUUAUGUAGAUAGAAUAUGGUAUAUAAGAUU
rnacentral:guide_RNA from 1 species